rnacentral:tRNA from 1 species
GUGUCCGUGGCUCAAUGGCUAGAGCGCUGAACUUCAACCAACAAGUCGUGGGCUCGAACCCCAUCAGAAGCA